AAGUCUGAGAAGCUGUAUCCAGGUCGGACUCCCAGUCAAUUCCCAUUGAACCAAACAAUACCCAGAUUAAAGAAAAUAUAUCCGCCAUCCUCUAAAGUUGUGUUUAUUUAUCUGCAAAUAUUGAUCAUUUCUACGAAUCCAAUUUUUCAUUUGGUGCGCAUAUCGUAUUUCAGAAUGAAAUUACAUUGCUUUGACAGGAAAUUCCUCCACUCUUCACCUUCGUUGAUGCCCAUUCAACUCCCUUCACCGAUGAGACUCAUUUGUGGUAUGUUAUGCCCAGUGAAGUGAAGAGCAAAGCUUUACUUAACCAGUAUUUGGAUGUUCUACCUUCGUGUGAGAAAGAUUAUGUGUUUCAAAUGCAUGGUGAGGAGCCCAGGAAGAGAGCCCUGCUAGCUCGUGCAUUGGUCCGCACAACCAUUGCCAGAUUCAGUGAAAUGCUUGUAUUUGAUGUGAAGUUUACAUGAUUUGGCAAAAAUAUAAUGAUAUUCGGUCCAAGUUAGUCCAAGAUCAUUAAGGUUCAGAAAGAACGUUCACGGGAAGCCUGAGCUAGAAUGGCAAUUUAGUGAUCAAUGGCGUUCACCUCCUUUGCAUUUCAACAUCUCACACACCUCUUCUUUGGUAGCUUGUGGAGUAACCAUCAAUUCUCAAAUUGGCAUUGACGUGGAAGAAAAACACAGAACUAUAAAACACAGUAUCUUGUCUUUUGCUCGACGAUACUUCUCUAAAGAUGAAGUUCUUUUCUUAGCUGAUAUUUUGGACCCUGAAGUUCAACGCCACGAAUUUGUAAAAUUAUGGACACUCAAGGAGGCAUAUGUCAAAGCACUGGGAAGGGGAUUUUCUGGUGCAUCUUUCAAGACAUUUACUAUUCACUAUAAAGGAAGUAGCUUUAGUCCAUUGGAGAAUUCAAAUUCUGAGGAAAAAGAGGAAAGGGAAUGAACAAAACUUUUGGAUAGAAAUCCAAAAGAAAGAAAAGAAGAGAACGACAAAUUUCUAAAUAAGCUAGAAGUCCACAUGUUGAUUAUUUACCAAAAAAUGAAGAGGAAAGGGAAAAAGUCCACAUCUUUCUGUGUCAAGGAUGUAGUCUCUUGAAAGCACAUUUAUAUCCCUGAACGUUGCAACUCUAUGUCCGAAAUAGAUGUCUAAUAUGAAAUCAAUUCUCCUCAGUCCUAACCUGCUAGUUGUAUGUGCAUGCUAGUUUACUUGAACAAGAUCCUAUUCUUGACUUUGUAGGUUUCAAAUUUUUAUUUCAAAUUUCUAGUAAGGCACUUCUUUUUCAGUAUGUGUCUCUUCAUUUAAUUAAUAUAGAAUUCACUACUUCAUCUGGUUACAUGUCAAGUGUGCUCUCAUGCUCAGGAAAUAGUAGUGGAUUUUUUUGAUGACCCCUUGAAUCUUACAAGAAAUUGGCAGUUUUUGCUUUUAGAGUUGGCUGGUUCUCAUUAUGCAGCCAUUUGCGUGGAAAAUAAUGGUGCCAUUGAAGGCAAAAGAACUAUUCAGGUCAACUUGACAGUGUGGAAGGCAAUUCCAUUUUUAGAAGAUGAAUGUGUUUCUGGAACUGACGCAGUUAAAACAAUUAGUGGCUUGAAAUAGUUAUAUCUAUGUUGUCUCAUUCAUUUGACUGGCAAAAAGGGCCGUUGGCUAGUGCAAUGGUUGAAACAAUUUGCAUGAAGUGGUCAUUUUUACUUGAAGGAUGAAGCUGCA